rfam:Ornithorhynchus anatinus chromosome 3, whole genome shotgun sequence.
GCAGCAAUGUGUGCAUAGUUGUCAUCUGUGUCUGGUAGCUAGUCUGUUUGCGUUUUGCAUCCAGACUUUGCUAUCCACACGUACCCUGCGGCCAAAGAUGAACCUGGGAUCAUAGUACUGGUCUAGUGAAGUCUUUGGGACAAAUCUUGCACUGGCCAGCCUCCAAACUCCCAGACAUUC